CCAAAUCACGUAACUUGUCUGAAGGACCAAAUCACAAAUGCAGCAAAACUUCUGGGGCUAAAUGUAAUUUUUAGAAAAUUUAGGAUUAAAAUGAAAUUUAAUGAAAAUUUAAGGGUCUAAGUGAAAUUUAAAGAAAGUUUAAGGGUCAAAAUGAAAUUUAGGAAAAGUUUAGGGGUCAAAAUGCAAUUUUUAUUUUUUAAAAUUUUUUUUUU
rnacentral:lncRNA from 1 species